rnacentral:rRNA from 1 species
UCUCCUGGAAAACGGGUGGUAAUGCCGGAUGCUCCGGUUGGAUGCAUGUCCUUCCGGGAAAGAUUCCAUCGGUAUGGGAUGGGGUCGCGUCCUAUCAGCUUGAUGGCGGGGUAACGGCCCACCAUGGCUUCGACGGGUAGCCGGCCUGAGAGGGCGACCGGCCACAUUGGGACUGAGAUACGGCCCAGACUCCUACGGGAGGCAGCAGUGGGGAAUAUUGCACAAUGGGCGCAAGCCUGAUGCAGCGACGCCGCGUGCGGGAUGGAGGCCUUCGGGUUGUAAACCGCUUUUGAUCGGGAGCAAGCCCUUCGGGGUGAGUGUACCCUUCGAAUAAGCACCGGCUAACUACGUGCCAGCAGCCGCGGUAAUACGUAGGGUGCAAGCGUUAUCCGGAAUUAUUGGGCGUAAAGGGCUCGUAGGCGGUUCGUCGCGUCCGGUGUGAAAGCCCAUCGCUUAACGGUGGGUCUGCGCCGGGUACGGGCGGGCUGGAGUGCGGUAGGGGAGACUGGAAUUCCCGGUGUAACGGUGGAAUGUGUAGAUAUCGGGAAGAACACCA